rnacentral:rRNA from 1 species
UACGGAGGGUGCGAGCGUUGUCCGGAAUCACUGGGCGUAAAGGGCGCGUAGGCGGCCUGAUAAGUAGGGGGUGAAAUCCUGCGGCUUAACCGCAGGGCUGCCUUCUAAACUGUCAGGCUUGAGCACAGUAGAGGCAGGUGGAAUUCCCGGUGUAGCGGUGGAAUGCGUAGAGAUCGGGGAAGAACAUCAGUGGCGAAGGCGGCCUGCUGGGCUGUUGCUGACGCUGAGGCGCGACAGCGUGGGGGAGCAAACAGG